ACAGAGAGCUGGGACUCAUGUGUCUGACUCCCAGGUGACACAUUCUGUGGUAUCAACAAGGCAGUCAAGAUUUUCAAAUGCCAGGUCCAACUUCUGACCAGGAAGAACUGCCCUCCCCCAUCAGAGAGGUGCACCUUCAGACGGUGUGUUAGAAGAAUUCUUAUGAAGUACUUAGAAAUCUGUGGAAGACUAUUAAAAUACAAAGGAAGCACUCUCCUAAUAGUCAAACCCACGACAUUUUCUUGAGCUUACUCCAAGGUAAAAACUCAAAUGUCGUACCAAGGGCCUAACAAGGAGCCUAGGCUAGGGACCCAGAAUGGCAAGAUGGGGUCUCACCAGGUGGCCAUAUGUGAGAGGAGGACCUGACUGUGCCACUCAGCUCAGCCCAGCUGUCAGGUGCAGGACAGGCAACAGGAGGUUCCUCCCCUCUCAGUGAGCAACAUUCAUCACUUUUAUGAAGCCAGCUGGUUGAUCCCACCCACGUGGGAAGAUCUAGAGGAUGGUGGUGAGGGUUGGACGAACCUGAUUCUGGACAAGGAGGCCUUUAGAUUUCUGCUUAGAUUCACUUAAAGAAGAAGACCUGUGUUGAGUUAAAAACGACCUUCAGGUCUAGGGAGAACUUUAAAAUGGGAAAUAUCCUCUUCACUUCAAUGAGAUGGGAACAAAAGCAAGCCAACUGGACAGUCCAAGAAAGACCCCAGGAUUGGUCUGGAGGAGAACUGUGGAUGUUAUGGCAAGUGUGACGAUCUCUCCUACUCAACCACACAGAGUCAAAGUCCCAGUCAUUCUCUCAGGGCCCUCACUUUCAAAGAGAGGCCCUUUGAGGAACUUUCUCUUGUAGCAGAACUAAUCAUCAAGCUCUCUGCUCACAGGAUCCCUGGGCCAGCGCCUCUGAGAGCACAAUGCUGCCCACAUGAUCCUAAGCCUUCCCCUACCUGCUGUCUCCUCUUUGUUUUUCUAUCAUUGAGCUUCCCCUUCACACCCUGCUCCCCUGGAUCCUACUCCCACCUUGCCACAUCCAUCUCCAAACCAUUGCCUUUGGGAUUCAUAUAGUUCUGUUCAUCCUUUAAAUCGGGACUGAAGGCCCACUCUUCUAGGAAGCCAUCCUGGGUUGAUGCUACUCUAGAAGGAAAUAAAAUUUAGAAGCCUUUUCCAGAAGCCUGACGUUCAUGUUUCUUCAACUCUGAGUUCCUGCCAUCAGUGUUGACUGCUAGCUUGAUACAUUUUCCAGAGAUAGACAGCCCAACCAGGCCAGGUGUCUGGCUUCUGACAGAGGACAGGGGCCCCUGUUGUGGGGCUCUAGGUCAUUUGGCUGCACCACUCCUUCUAUGACUCCUUCCUGAUGGGAAGCUCUUGGAGACAAAGAAACUUCACAGUACUUUGACUAAGAGAUAGCUAUUCUCUGUGGGGCUCUGGAUCUGGACUGGAGACCAGUGACUCAGAAGCUGUUUUUCACUCUGUGACUUCCAUGGGUCCUCUGAAGACUCCGGCAAUCCCAUCUUCUUUACAUGCUAUACUUAUUUUCACAGCUCUCACCCCACAGAAGGCCACACUGAGACAGCGGGUUCUUCUCUCGCUGUUUCUCCAGAGGAAUAGCAAACACAAUAAGGGACUUCACUCCUCAUCUCAUUUUGAGGAUAAGCACGUUCUCCAUCUAAACUCUGUUUUAUCCAAGGAUGGGAUUGUUCACAGGAGAGGAAAGAGGACGGAGAGGGCUGUGCUGACAAAGAAGCCAGGUGCUGCUGAAGAUGGACUGUGUGGUACUGGAGGCAGGACGGGGACAGGCUCUGAGGAGGAGGAGGAACAAACAAGGAGAAAGGCUGGGGGAUGGUUUGUCCUCCAGCCUCCCUUGGCAAGCUCCUCGAACAUCCUGAGCACAACAAAACCACAUUUGGGGUGUCUGCUACAGUCCACAGCCAGCGUGCAGAAGUUGUCUGUCAAUCUCUACUUGCAAUUAUUACUAAGUCUUCGGAUGUGUUUGCUUUUACUUCUCAACUGGGUUGAAAGGGAUGAAAGGAUAUAUUAGCUGGAAGGCUCACACAGACACCUCCAUCUAAGAACCAACUGAAAUCCAAGAGGAAUGAGAGUGGGCUCUCUCCCAGCUUUUUCUCAGUCUCUGUCAAUGUGUGCACAUGUGCAGGUGCCGAGGGAGAGGAGGGGACACAUCCUGGUCAGGUCAAUGGGUCACCAUCACCAUCUCUUCCUGUCCAUGAUGAUUUUUCUGUAGUCACUUCAUAAGAGGACUGUAAAAAAUUACUAGCUUCCUCCCCUCCAGGCCGAUGAUGUGAAGAUCAAAGGCGAGAGGGUGAUAACAAGGCAGCAGACAAAUGCAAGCGAUUAUGACCCUCCCAAUCAAUGAAGCAGGGCCUUCCCGACCUUCAGCCCUGGUGGCCUUCAUCCUGCCAGCAGCGCCUCAGUCUGCACCUCCCACAGCUUCUCAAUUUAGAGAUCCUGCGGAGGAGUGCCCGCUGAUCCCUCGAGACCCACGGGGCUAUUUCUAGCUCUCCGGUUGUCUCCUCUCCCCCGGGUCUUGUGUAUCAAAGCAACUGAGGAGCCCUGGUGGCUGCUUCCCUCUGGCCCCUUUAGAGGUUGUGGGCCAGUGCCUGUCCCCAAAGUCUCUUCCUUCAACCAGGAGCACAGAGCUCCAUGGACAAUCAGAGGCCCAGGCCUUAGAGACUAUCUCUGACCUCCCCUGCCCCAGCGGAGGUAACGGCGCUCCAUCGGUGGCUUCCCCGGGGUUGCAUGGCAGGCUGUCGGCGGAGCCCACAUCGAAACCAGACUUCCCGACUCGUGAUCCUGGGCUCUUGUUUCUCAACCUUGUACGUUAUUUUUAUUGAUGAGCGAGCUAACAAGAAAGGACUAUUCUACCCAGACCCAGUACUAACGUCAAAUGACCUAAACCAGCCCCAGGAAAACUGCGACUGGUACACGUGUGCCCUGGAUCACUCGCCUCUCCCCUACCUUCUCAGUGUCUCAACCUUCCACAUUUGAUGCUGUUCUUUAGACCCCAAUUUUGGAGUUCUCUGCCUGCCCUUCAGCAUGUUAGGAGAAGAGCUGAGCUUCUGCUAGCUGUGUGCUUAAGGACAGCUCACAUAGCCUCUCUGAGCCUCCAUUCCCCCAUCUAUAAAUUGAAAUAAUAAAAACCUUGUCCUGACCAUACCUCUAGGAGAAAACGUACAACGGGGCUUUGUAGACUACAAAGUGCCAUAGAAGGCCAGUUACCUCGAUCUUUAACCUUUUUCUUAAAGCUACUUU
rnacentral:lncRNA from 1 species